UCUUCCGUAGUAUAGUGGUCAGUAUGCAAGCUUGUCACGCUUGAGACCCGGGGUUCAAUUCCCGGCGGGAGAG
rnacentral:tRNA from 1 species